rnacentral:lncRNA from 1 species
UCAGAAUCAAAUUCAUCACAUAGAAAAUUUCGAAUGCAUUUUUUUAUUUGUCAAAUGUAAUUAAAUCUCAAUUUGACCAAAUAGAAAGAUUCAACUUGGAUAGAAUCAUUGUUCAAUUAUUUUCGAACAUUGCAUUGUUCUUCCAAUAAAAGGACGAUCAAAAGAAUAUUAAUCGGUAAUCCGACUAAUUUUCUUUUGUCUCCUCACAUUUUUUCUUUAUCUCUUUUAUCUCUUUUACAUCCAUGGGACAACUAAGGCGGGAUAAAAAUCCCUUCCUUGCCUCCCUAACAUUAACAAAGCUCUCUCUCUUUGUCUCUUUCU